rnacentral:rRNA from 1 species
UACGAAGGGGGCUAGCGUUGCUCGGAAUUACUGGGCGUAAAGGGCGCGUAGGCGGCACUGUUAGUCAGGCGUGAAAGUCCUGGGCUCAACCUGGGAACUGCGCUUGAUACGGCAGAGCUAGAGGAUGGAAGAGGGUCGCGGAAUUCCCAGUGUAGAGGUGAAAUUCGUAGAUAUUCGGAGGAACACCAGUGGCGAAGGCGGCUCACUGGUCCGGUACUGACGCUGAGGUGCGAAAGCGUGGGGAGCAAACAGG